rnacentral:lncRNA from 10 species
GAUAGCCUUCAAACCAGAAAUGCCUCUCAUGUCUUGAUGUCAGAGAACCAUUCUACCAAGAGGAGGAGCAGCCCAGCAAAGUCCAUCAAACGGUGAGAGUAUAUUCCAGAGCAGGGGGCAGGAGGACGUUAGGGGAGCCUGUGGCUUCUGCAGCAGAGGCAAUAGCAGAAGGAGAGGAGAGGGAGGAGCAGAAGGAGAGCAGAGGGAGAGCAGAGGGAGGAGCCUUCAAGGGCUGCUGUGUGUUCGGAGCCCAGCUAAAGCCAAGCAGGCCUCUGAGCUCCCUGCUAGGAGUUCAUGUCUGCAGGGCAUGUGGCUGCUUGGAAAUUAGCCAUGUAGACCUCACAGUCUGUCUUUGCCAGAGAAAGGCAGGGCAAACCAUAUUAUACACCUUUAUAACAUUGUUUCAAAUCCAGAAGUGUGAUGCCUCCACCGUUGUUUUUCUUUUUCAAAAUUGCCUUGGCUAUUUUUUUUUUUUUUUUUUGUGGUUCCAUGCCGAUUUUGGAUUUUUUUUCUUUUCUCUCUUUUUUGAUGGGGAGGGAUGGAGUCUCACUUUGUUGCCCAGGCUGCAGUGCAGUGGCACAAUCUUGGCUUACUGCAACCUCUGCUUCCCGGGUUCAAGGGAUUCUACCACCUCAGCCUCCUGAGUAGCUUGAGACUACAGGCGUGUGCUACCAUGCCCGGCUAACUUUUGUGUAUUUAGUAGAGUUGGGAUUUUGCCAUGUUGGCCAGGCUGGUCUUGAACUCUUCACCUCAGGUGAUCCACCCACCUCGGCAUCCCAAAUUGUUGGGAUUACAGGCGUAAGCAAACGUGUCCAGCCAGAUCUUUCUUCUAUUUCUGUGAGAAAUACCACUGAAAUUUUGAUAGGGAUCCCAUUGAAUUUGUACAUUGCUUUUGAUGGGAUUACUAGAGAAACAGGAGUGUAGGAGAGCCAGAGUGACGCCAUUUUAAAGCCAAUUCCAUUUUAAAACAAGCAAGGCAAUUCCUUGCCAGUCACAGCCCAUGGUCACAGGUGUUGACAGCUAAGGAGGGAGUUUAGUAAUGCCUGCAAGGACUAACUCCUACAGCAACAAAAUGUCCAAAUGCGCCAAUAUCUAAUAACAAUAUGUGCUUUUAAAAUAAUUAGAAUCAUGCUUUGAUGUACUUACUCACUAAAAUCCCAAGGAUAGUUUACUUUAAAUCAACAAAGUAAUAAGUUUUGUCACGCUGUCAACCCACCCACACAUAGACUUAACUUAGCUUUUACAUAGAUAAGACCCCUACAUGAGAGGAGUUUAAAACAAAGACAAUGCGUUCCUCCUCUUGUUUUCUGAGGAUGCCCUACUCUGCAUCUGAGUAGCUUUCAAUAAAUGAUCUCUUCUCACUGCACUCUGUGACUCACCUGAAUUCCUUCCUGUGCAAGACUGAAAAACCCUCUUCCAGCAACAUCUUUCUGGCGAUGCACUAAGGGACCAUAAGAUGAGACUAUGUGCUGGGGAAGUUUUGUCUGCAGCACCAGUUGGCCACCUCUGGUAAAUGGGGUCCUUCUUGGCAUCCUAUGUCAUGCUUAGACAAGGAUGCUCGCCUAGAAACUCAGGUUAGAGGCUCAGCCCACAAGGUUAGAUGCCCUGGGGUAUAUCUGGAACAAUGGAAGUCUCUUUGCAAGAUGUUUGUCAGUACAUGAUCUGAACUAAUCCACCUUGUGCCCUCUGCUGGGGAUGGGAAAGCUCUACUUCUCAUCAUUUCCCAGCUCAUUGCUUUGCUGUACUGCAGCCUUGGGGCAGCCCCAAAUGGCUGGUCCAGAGGUUUCCACCUUCCAGUGGCGGAUUCUAAUGUUCUUUAUGUGUUUCUCUCUGUUCUUUUCUGCCUGCUUUGGAUCUGCUGUUACUAAUCUGCUGCCGAGUGGCAACUCUGCUUAUCUCACGGUGUUGAGGGCUUUGACUCCUGGACACACAUAUCUAAAGAUGGCACUGACUUCUACCAGUAUCUGACAAAAACUCAAGUUAACUGAAGGCUCGUCUUUAGACCUGGGCAAAGGGGACAACGUAAACUGCUUUCAUGAGACACAAGGACAGGACAAUUUGCUGAGGUCUGCGAGCUGCCCCUCCAGAGAAUCCCUGCUCUCCCAAAAUUUGGUCAAGAUCUCAAGUUUAUUUUGGUGUACAACUCCUUUAUUUUGGAGUUUUACUUUCUUCCAACAAGGAAGGGAAGUUUUCCUGCUUCCGUGAUAAUGGAAGGCAGGUAACUCCUUUAUGGAGUUUGAGCUCACUUCCAACAGCGAAGAUGAGAUUUUUCCUGCUUCUAGGAUGGUGGAGAGCAGUCUUCAGCCUGAGACCCAUCCCUGGGUAAGUAACUGAAUUGGGGUUUGUCUUGGCUAAAGUUAAAGUUAACAACCAGCUGGUCUUAAUUUCUUUUUACCAUUAGAGUGUUCAGUGAUCAUGUAAGUUGUGCCAUUGUUUGUUUUGCUUAAGGGUUUUUUUUUUUUUUUUGGUGUUUGUUUGUUUCUGUUUUUCCUACUGUUUCUCUUGUUGUUUCAGUCUUUUGCCCAUUGGGUUUAAUCAACUCUAUCCAACUUGAUCAACUCUGAAGGGAAGUUCCAAAUUAUGGGGAACAAGGCCUCUGAAGUGACUAAAUUCCACCCCCCGCCUCCCCUCCACACACACACACAAAAGGUGGUAUGGUUGGGGGAGAAAAACAGCCAGCAAAAGGAGAAAAAAAGGAAAGAUUUUUGAUUUUGACUACUAAAGGGGUUUUAUUUACAGAACAAGGCCACUUUUUUGCUAGCAGGCCAAACUGAAACAAUGGCAGUUGCCCCACGCUGUAGUUCCAUACCUAAGGCUCUGCUUUCUUUUCACCAUGAGAGCCUGGGUUUGGUGGGUUUGGUUCCUAAAUCAAGCCCUUUCUGGUUUGAUACUUGGUACCUCUGAAAUAGCAGCAAUUUUUUCUGACUAAAAUACGGUAAUGAAAUUUAAAUGGAUUAUUUUAAAAAGAGCUCAAUGGUUAAAAGUCAGUUUAAUUAAAAGGCUAACAUCCAAGAUGUACGUGUGUGUGUGUGUGUGUGUGUGCGUGCACGCAUAUGUGUAUGUUUGUCUUUGAAAGGUCUUCAUGUGUUUGUUUUUUGGUUGUUUUUCUCCUCUAGGACCUUGCCUUUUUUUUUUAGCAAAAGUUUUUUUCUUCUCAGUUGACUGAAUUCUGUUAUUACCUGAUUGUUUGACUAAAAUAGAUACUGCACAGAGGCUACUCUGGGGUUUUUAAGGAAGAGUGUAGUUUAGACACUUAAAAAUGUCUUUGUUUAAAACUAUUUUUUAAGUGCACUGUAAAAGCAUCACGUUGUCUAGCCUCAUAAUAAUUCACCCUUUUUGGAGACCCAGGAUUCAGUGUGGGCUCUACCCAGAGCUCAGAUAUCUGGUUAAAAAAAGAAAAACAGGUAGUCUCUAUCUAAAUAAAAUCAGUCUUCCUAUGUAAUCCAACAAUAAAUUUCUGUAAUUUUAUUACUGAGUUGGCAUCCAUCUUUAAUCUUUCUCUAGCACCACCAGACAUUUUCUCUGUGUACCUGAUAAUGUAAAUUUUGCUAUUUGACUUUCACCUGAUAUGCAGAUUUAAGGCUAUUUAGCUGACAACUGUCUAGGGUUCUGAAACAGGUUAUCAAGAAUCUGAAAGUCUAAGAUAUGAAAAAAGAGGUUUUUAUGAAUCUAUAAGAUGUACUUUUAUCAGCAUGCCUAAUAUGUCUGUAUUUAUGUGUUGUGUACACAAUGUUUCACUAUGAAAAAUAUAUAAAAGAGCUCUAAUUAAUUGGCUCAAAGUGAAAUAAUUCAAAAAGCAGCUAUAUUCAUUAAAUCAAUAUCAAUGAUUUAUACUUAAUACGUAAAUACUUUAUCAGGAAAAAAGGAAAGAUUAGUCAAAUGCUUUUUCAAGUUUGCAUAACUUAAGUAAAAUUAUUAAUAAAUGAGCUCGCUUUAAAAUUAUUGGUAAAGUAAUAUUAGAAAUGUCAGCAUACAUUUUUGUUUGCAAUUAUUAAUCAAGCAAUUUCAUACUUACCCCUGCCAAAUAGUAUAAGUUGUCAAAAUUUGGCAGAGGGUUUACAAAACUAUAAACCCGGCCCAAAACAUAAUGAUAUUUGCUUGUGUAAUCUUUAAUAAAUAAGUCAUUGAUAUUGAUUUAAUGAAUAUAGUUGCAUUUUGAAUUUAGUAAGAUUAUCAUAACUUCUAAUUCUGUGGCUUUAGGCAGUCUAGUGCACAGGCAGUAAGGAAGUUUGUUUUGAGAAAGGACUGUUAUAGUGUUUGUUUCAAAGCUAAACUAUAAACUAAGUUCCUCCCAAAGUCCAGGAAUGAACAAGGACAGCCUGGAGGUUAGAAGCAAGUUGGAGUUAGUUAGUCAAAUCUUUUUUCCCUAUCUCAGUUAUAAUUUUGCAGUGAUGGUUUCAUAACUUUAAAUCAUGACUAUCACAGUUUUCAUAAACAAUCUAGGUAAACAAGGUAAUUAGGUAAAUGUAAUGUGAUACAUACUUGUAGACAAAUUUGUCAUAAUUUAGAAUAGAAAGUUAUAUUAAAUAAUAGAUAUUUCACUAUUUAGGUAUUUUCCAAUGAAAGUAUAUUGUAGGAAAACAUUCUUGCUAAAAAAAAAAAGGUGUGUCCUUUUUAAAAAAAGGUGAACAAGUUUUAUCUAAUUUAAAGCUUAUUUAAAGGUUAUAUAUAAAACGAGGUAAAAGAACCAGAAAAUAAGAGAGAUGUAAAGAAAGUUAUAAAAAUAAAGAGGUAUUUUUUGUGUUAAGAAAGCUUAAAGAGAAAUAAUUUUAUAUGAGAAAGAAUCUUGUAUGUUAAGUUUAGUCCUAAAAUAAAAUGACUGAUUAAGAAAGAGCAUGUUCAGGACAAAAGACAAAGUCCAGGCAUGUGAUGAAUGCUCUGUAUAAGUCAUAGUAAGAGGAUUUUUUUUUUAAAAAAAAACAAAAAUUUGUAUAUGAUCAAGUUGUUUAUAAGUAAUGGGAAAUUAUAUUGCUCUUCCUAGAGAUUGGGCUUGAUGUAAAAAAAAACACUUACGCACUAAAUUAUUGGUUAGAACAAUGAAAUUUUCUUAAGGGGUUGAUUUACUCUUAACAAAUUAUAAUAGAUUUUAAUUUUUUUUACUGAAAAUUCAGCUUUUAUUGCAUCUCACCAUUUGUUGGCUUUUUCUCCCGUUUUAAAAGGCACGUUUUCCUAAAGGUCUAAGGAAACGUUUUCUUCCAACAUAAUGUUCUGUGCACUGCAGAAGGUCUUUUCUUUUGCCUUUUGGUAAAUGACCUAACAGAUUUAACAUUUUAUUGAAAUAAUUCCUAUGCCAUUAUUGUUAAAUUUGGUUUGCUUAGGAAAAGGAUAAUUUUUUUUUUUUGAGACAGAGUCUCACUCUGUUGCCCAGGCUAGAGUGCAGUGGCGCAAUCUCGGCUCACUUCAACCUCCACCUCCUGGGUUCAAGUGAUUCUUCUGCCUCAGCCUCCUGAGUAGCUGGGACUACAGGUGCACGCCAUCAUGCCUAGCUAAUUUUUGUAUUAUUAGUAGAGAUGGGGUUUCACCAUAUUGGCCAGGCUGGCCUUGAACUCCUGACCUCAUGAUCCGUCCCCCCUUGGCUUCCCAAAGUACUGGGAUUACAGGCAUGAGCCACCACACCCCGCUGAUAUUUAAUUUUUUAAAUUAAAGUUAUUACAUUUGUGUAUCUUCCUGUAUGUGCUUUUAAAGUUCUUGUGACAUUGAGUUACAGGGCUUUGACUGCUGGGUCUGAAAAGGACACCAAGUCCUGCUCAAUUUUUAAACAUUGACAGCAAUUAAAGCCCCAUCUUUGGGCCCAGUAGAAGAUGCCAAUCAAAAUCAACUGCAUUCCUGAAACACAGGGACAGAAAUUAAAGCUAUUCAACUCCUCAAGGCCCAUGGACUGUCUCGGUAGAGGAGGGUGCGUGAGAUUGUAAGGGCUGAUUUUAAAGAUAAAAUAAGUUCAAUUUCUCUAUAAAUUAAUCAUUAAUGUUGAAGGCACACUGAAGCAAGACCAGCAUAUGGGCCCCUGAGUCAAAUUAACAAGGUUUUCUUGAAGUAUUAACUGUCUCCUAUAUAAAGAUUGUAAAGGUUAUGAAAGGCUUAUGGAAGUUGUAUCUUAUGAUCAAGAUUAAAAUUUUAUAAUUUUUAAAUAAAAUUUUGAAAAACAAAUUUACUUGGCUUCUUGUGCACCUGUCCAAGAUUAAGCCCGUUUCUUAUGAGUCCCCACAGGCACCUGAGAAGGACACCAUGGCCUACACUUGUGAACCCUUAUAAUACCUAAAGCUGUUGUUUUAGAAAUAAACAGAUAAUGGGGCCAGGCGCAGACUCACGCCUGUAAUCCCAGCACUUUGGGAGGCCGAGGUGGGCGGAUCACGAGUUCAGGAGAUUGAGACCACGGUGAAACCCCGUCUCUACUAAAAAUACAAAAAAUUAGCUGGGCGCAGUGGCGGGCGCCUGUAGU